rnacentral:rRNA from 1 species
UAUCUCUGUAGAGUCUGCAUAUCAAUAAGCGGAGGAAAAGAAACUAACAAGGAUUCCCUUAGUAACGGCGAGUGAAGCGGGAAGAGCUCAAAUUUGAAAUCUUCAAGGUUCUACCUUGACGAAUUGUAGUUUAAAGAAGUGUUUUCUGUUAGAUGAGUAGCAAAAGUUCCUUGGAAUGGGACAUCAUAGAGGGUGAGAAUCCCGUAUUUGGUUAUUCAUUCUAGCUUUGUGAUACACUUUCAAAGAGUCGGAUUGUUUGGGAAUGCAGUCCAAAAUGGGUGGUAAAUUUCAUCUAAAGCUAAAUAUUGGCGAGAGACCGAUAGCGAACAAGUACCGUGAGGGAAAGAUGAAAAGAACUUUGAAAAGAGAGUUAAACAGUACGUGAAAUUGUCAAAAGGGAAGCGUUUGACACCAGUGUUGUUUUUCCGAAAAUCAAUUACGAAUGGCUUGAUUUUGUGUUGUAUUUACCUUAUCAGCUUUCUUCACUUUUUUCGAGUCUUUCUUAAUGCACUUUUCGGUUAACAAGUCAACAUCAAUUUCUUUUGUUGUAAAAGAGUAUUCGGAAGGUGGCUUUCUUUUCGGAGAAAGUGUUUAUAGCCCUAUACUUCUACAAUCGGAGAGAUUGAGGUCUGCAGCGUAGAUCCUUCGGGGUUAGAUACACUUUGUGCUAAGUUGUAGCUUUUCAUAGACAACUUGUUGACUAUGUUUAGUCAUGCGGCUUACUCGCUUAUGCUAUUUUACCUACGCUUAGGAUGUUGACUGAUAUGUAGUCGUA